rnacentral:rRNA from 1 species
CCUACGGGAGGCAGCAGUGAGGAAUAUUGGUCAAUGGACGAGAGUCUGAACCAGCCAAGUAGCGUGAAGGAUGACUGCCCUAUGGGUUGUACACUUCUUUUAUAAAGGAAUAAAACGAGGCACGUGUGCCUUUUUGCAUGUACUUUAUGAAUAAGGAUCGGCUAACUCCGUUCCAGCAGCCUCGGUAAUACGGAUGAUCCGAGCGUUAUCCGGAUUUAUUGGGUUUAAAGGGAGCGUAGAUGGGUUGUUAAGUCAGUUGUGAAAGUUUGCGGCUCAAACGUAAAAUUGCAAUUGAUACUGGCAGUCUUGAGUACAGUUGAGGUAGGCGGAAUUCGUGGUGUAGCGGUGAAAUGCUUAGAUAUCACGAAGAACCCCGAUUGCGAAGGCAGCUUACUAAACUGCGACUGACAUUGAUGCUCGAAAGUGUGGGUAUCAAACAGGAUUAGAUACCCUUGUAGUC